AAUCAACGCUGGCGGCGUGCCUAACACAUGCAAGUCGAACGAGAAAGUCCCGCAAGGGACAAGUAGAGUGGCGAACGGGUGAGUAACACGCGGAUAACCUGCCGUCGAGUGGGGAAUAACCUUCCGAAAGGAGGGCUAAUACCGCAUAACACCCGAGGACAUCAGUCCCCGGGUUGAAAGGAGUGAUUCGCUCGAUGAGGGGUCCGCGCCUGAUUAGCUUGUUGGUGGGGUAAUGGCUCACCAAGGCGACAAUCAGUAGCCGUCCUGAGAGGGAGCACGGCCACACUGGAACUGAGACACGGUCCAGACUCCUACGGGAGGCAGCAGUGAGGAAUUUUUGGCAAUGGGCGAAAGCCUGACCAAGCAACGCCGCGUGGGUGAUGAAGUAUUUUGGUACGUAAAACCCUUUCGGCAGGGACGAAUUCUUGACGGUACCUGCGGAAGAAGCCCCGGCUAACUCCGUGCCAGCAGCCGCGGUAAUACGGGGGGGGCAAGCGUUGUUCGGAAUUACUGGGCGUAAAGGGCGCGUAGGCGGUUGGAUAAGUCCAGCUGUG
rnacentral:rRNA from 1 species